GUAAAUAAUAAAGGGCGUAUGGUGGAUGCCUAGGCUCUCAGAGGCGAUGAAGGACGUGAUAAGCUGCGAAAAGCUCCGUUUAGGUGCAAAUAACCUUUGAUGCGGAGAUCUCCGAAUGGGAUAACCCAAUAUGUUGAAGACAUAUUAUACCGUAAGGUAGGCAAACGCAGGGAACUGAAACAUCUAAGUACCUGCAGGAGAAGAAAACAAACGUGAUUCCCCCAGUAGCGGCGAGCGACCGGGGAUAAGCCCAAACCGUUAUUGUUUCGGCAGUAGCGGGGUAGUAGGACUGCGACAUUGAUGAAAUAAAUGAAAUGGAACACCUUGGAAAAUGUGAUCACAGAGGGUGAUAAUCCCGUACAUGUAAGUUUAUGAAUCAUAGCAGACUCCUGAGUAAGUCGGGACACGUGUAAUCCUGACCGAAUCCGCCGGGACCAUCCGGCAAGGCUAAAUACUCCUGAGAGACCGAUAGUGAACCAGUACCGUGAGGGAAAGGUGAAAAGCACUUCGAACAGAAGAGUGAAAUAGUCCCUGAACCCAUACGCCUACAAGCUGUCGGAGCCGCUUCGUGCGGUGACGGCGUGCCUUUUGCAUAAUGAGCCUACGAGUUACUCAUCACCAGCGAGGUUAAGUACUUCAGGUACGUAAGCCGAAGCGAAAGCGAGUCUGAAUAGGGCGUCAAGUUGGUGGUGGUAGACGCGAAACCUUAGUGAUCUACCCAUGGGCAGGGUGAAGGUUUGGUAACACAAACUGGAGGCCCGAACCGGUAAACGUUGAAAAGUUUUCGGAUGACCUGUGGGUAGGGGUGAAAGGCCAAUCAAACUGGGAAAUAGCUCGUACUCUCCGAAAUGCAUUUAGGUGCAGCCUCUGUUGUUUUGUUCUAGAGGUAGAGCUACUGAUUGGAUGCGAGGGCUUCACCGCCUAUCAAAUCCGGCCAAACUCCGAAUGCUAGAACAUGAAGACAGGGAGUGAGCCAGCGGGUGCUAAGGUCCGUUGACGAAAGAGGGAGAACUCAGACCAUCAGCUAAGGUCCCCAAUUAUAUGCUAAGUUGGAAUUAAAACGGGGUGGGACUGCUUAGACAGCUAGGAUGUUGGCUUGGAAGCAGCCAUUCAUUUAAAGAGUGCGUAACAGCUCACUAGUCGAGCGGUCCUGCAUGGAUAAUACGCGGGCAUAAGCAUAUAACCGAAGCUAUGGGAUUGUAGAUGAUACAAUCGGUAGGAGAGCAUUCCAUUCAGCAUAGAAGCAGUAUCGUGAGGUAUUGUGGAGCGGAUGGAAAAGCAAAUGUAGGCAUAAGUAACGAUAAUGCGGGUGAGAACCCCGCACGCCGAAAGAUCAAGGAUUCCCCGGCAAUGUCAAUCAUCCGGGGGUAAGUCGGAUCCUAAGGGUAAGCCGAGUGGCGAUCCCGAUGGCAAACAGGUUAAUAUUCCUGUACUGAUCAUAACUGCGAUGCAGCGACGCAGAGGUGACACUGCUGCGUACUGACGGAAUAGUACGUUGAAACCCGUAUUCUUUGAUACCGGUAGUGAAGCACGCCGGUAGAGAUGAAAGGUGAUAGUACCGCAAUGCUUCGGUUGCGCGGAUAAUGCAGGUAAGCUGACUGCCAAGAAAACCUGCUAAGCUUCAGGUAAUGAUCAUCCGUACUGUAAACGGACACACGUGAUCAGGUAGAAAAUACUAAGGCGCUCGAGAGAUUCAUGGUUAAGGAACUAGGCAAAAUGGUCCUGUAACUUCGGGAUAAAGGACGCUCUUGUGAAAGAGCCGCAGAUAAUAGGCCCAGGCGACUGUUUACCAAAAACACAUGGCUAUGCUAAUUCGCAAGAAGAUGUAUAUGGCCUGACACCUGCCCGGUGCCGGAAGGUUAAGAGGAGAGCUCAGAUGUAAGUCGAAGGUUUGAAUUGAAGCCCCGGUAAACGGCGGCCGUAACUAUAACGGUCCUAAGGUAGCGAAAUUCCUUGUCGGGUAAGUUCCGACCUGCACGAAUGGUGUAAUGAUCUGGACGCUGUCUCAACCGUGAGCUCAGUGAAAUUGUAGUAUCGGUGAAGAUGCCGAUUACCCGCGAUGGGACGAAAAGACCCCGUGAACCUUUACUAUAGCUUAACAUUGAAUUUGGGUAAUUGAUGUGUAGGAUAGGCCGGAGGCUUUGAAGCGGGCACGCCAGUGUUCGUGGAGCCGCUGUUGAAAUACGGCCCUUUGAUUAUUUGAGUUCUAACCCGCUGUUGCGGGGACACUGUUUGGUGGGUAGUUUGACUGGGGUGGUCGCCUCCAAAAGCGUAACGGAGGCUUCUAAAGGUGCCCUCACGACGAUUGGUAACCGUCGGCAGAGUGUAAUGGCAUAAGGGCGCUUGACUGGGAGACUCACAAGUCGAUCAGGUAGGAAACUAGAGCAUAGUGAUCCGGUGUUUCUGUAUGGAAAGGACAUCGCUCAAAGGAUAAAAGGUACUCCGGGGAUAACAGGCUGAUCCCUCCCA
rnacentral:rRNA from 1 species